ensembl:lncRNA
UGGACCCAGAAGCAGAUACAGGCCGAGGCCCAGUGCUAGAUUUUCUAACAGAGCUUUAUUUACAAAUGCUUGGGAACUGUGAACAUGAAGCCAGAGUGAGAUUCAGUGAGGGGGUCGUGGUUCGACAAGCGAGAAUCGGAGUCACGGCAACAGAGGGAGAGAUGUGUCAGCACGGCCCUGACAGGAAAGAGAGUGGACGAGUGAAUCUUUGGAGGCUCACUUUUCUGCAGGCGGAGAAUUUGGAGCGGUCUGGAUUUUGAAGGCCUGCAGUGAAAAAGCAACUGGGAGUCUGGUGGCAGGGUCCCCUCUGGUGCUUUCUAUCAAACAUCCACACACAAGCAGACCCUGAUCGGAGCCCAAGUAAUCUCUGGCUUGAAGAAUGAAGCAGCAAGGGAUUGAAC